AGAUGUGAGGGCGAUCUGGCUGCGACAUCUGUCACCCCAUUGGUCACCAAGGUUGAUUCAACUGAUCUGGCCUGGUGUCCCCUUCUUCCUUCACUGCUCUAUGUGUGUCCCUCCCUCCCAAAGCAGGAUGUUUGAUCAAAGAAGGAAGGUGUUCCCCAAAUAGAGAUGGGAGGGUCUUUAGUCAAGGGUAUAGGAGUAGCUAUGCUACCCUGCUAGGACCUCUAAACAAAUUCUCAAGAAAUUCUACACUGAUGUAUAUAAUUCUACCAAUGUACAUUCUCAUGGUAAUUCAGAAGUGUUCCCUUUA
rnacentral:snRNA from 1 species